GAUGAACGCUAGCGGGAGGCCUAACACAUGCAAGCCGAGCGGUAUUGUUUCUUCGGAAAUGAGAGAGCGGCGUACGGGGGGGGAACACGUGUGCAACCUGCCUUUAUCGGGGGGAUAGCCUUUGGAAAGGAAGCUUAAUACUCCAUAAUAUAUUGAAAGGCAUCGUUUAAUAUUGAAAGCUCCGGCGGAUAGAGAUGGGCACGAGCAAGAUGAGCUAGUUGGUGAGGUAACAGGUCACCAAGGCAAUGAUCUUUAGGGGGCCUGAGAGGGUGAUCCCCCACACUGGUACGGAGACACGGACCAGGCUCCUACGGGAGGCAGAAGUGAGGAAUAUUGGUCAAUGGGUGCAAGCCUGAACCAGCCAUCCCGCGUGAAGGACGACUGCCCUAUGGGUUGUAAACUUCUUUUGUAUAGGGAUAAACCUACCCUCGUGAGGGUAGCUGAAGGUACUAUACGAAUAAGCACCGGCUAACUCCGUGCCAGCCGCCGCAGUAACAC
rnacentral:rRNA from 1 species